rnacentral:rRNA from 1 species
UACAGAGACUGCAAGCGUUAUUCGGAUUCACUGGGCGUAAAGGGUGCGCAGGCGGCCGAGUGUGUGAGGCGUGAAAGCCCGGGGCUUAACCCCGGAAUUGCACCUCAAACUACACGGCUAGAGCAUUGGAGAGGGUAGCAGAAUUCAUGGUGUAGCAGUGAAAUGCGUAGAUAUCAUGAGGAAUACCAGAGGCGAAGGCGGCUACCUGGACAAUUGCUGACGCUCAGGCACGAAGCGUGGGAGCAAAGGG